GACGAACCGUGCGAACGUUGUUCGGCAUCGCUGGGCUUAAAGGGCGCGUAGGCGGGCUGCCAAGUCUGGGGUGAAAUCCCACGGCUCAACCGUGGAACUGCCUCGGAUACUGGCGGCCUCGAGGGAGGUAGGGGCGUGCGGAACUGUGGGUGGAGCGGUGAAAUGCGUUGAUAUCCACAGGAACUCCGGUGGCGAAGGCGGCACGCUGGACCUCUUCUGACGCUGAGGCGCGAAAGCCAGGGGAGCAAACGGG
rnacentral:rRNA from 1 species